rnacentral:rRNA from 1 species
GACGAACGCUGGCGGCGUGCUUAACACAUGCAAGUCGAACGGAAAGGCCCUGCUUUUGUUGGGUGCUCGAGUGGCGAACGGGUGAGUAACACGUGAGUAACCUGCCCUUGACUUUGGGAUAACUUCAGGAAACUGGGGCUAAUACCGGAUAGGAGCUCCUGCUGCAUGGUGGGGGUUGGAAAUUUUCGGCGGUUGGGGAUGUACUCGCGGCUUAUCAGCUUGUUGGUGGGGUAGUGGCUUACCAAGGCUUUGACGGGUAGCCGGGCGGAGAGGGUGACCGGCCACAUUGGGACUGAGAUACGGCCCAGACUCCUACGGGAGGCAGCAGUGGGGAAUAUUGCACAAUGGGCGGAAGCCUGAGGCAGCAACGCCGCGUGCGGGAUGACGGCCUUCGGGUUGUAAACCGCUUUCGCCUGUGACGAAGCGUGAGUGACGGUAAUGGGUAAAGAAGCACCGGCUAACUACGUG